UACGUAGGGUGCAAGCGUUGUCCGGAAUUAUUGGGCGUAAAGAGCUCGUAGGCGGCUUGUCACGUCGGAUGUGAAAGCCCGGGGCUUAACCCCGGGUCUGCAUUCGAUACGGGCUAGCUAGAGUGUGGUAGGGGAGAUCGGAAUUCCUGGUGUAGCGGUGAAAUGCGCAGAUAUCAGGAGGAACACCGGUGGCGAAGGCGGAUCUCUGGGCCAUUACUGACGCUGAGGAGCGAAAGCGUGGGGAGCGAACAGG
rnacentral:rRNA from 1 species